UAACCUGACAGUGACAACAUGCUGGUAUAAGCACCCUUGCUAUUACACUUCUCUGCAUUCAUGCAACUACACCAGUUGACCAAUCUACAGUCCUAGGUCCAUAAUUCUGUUUCACAUUUGAAGUCCACCCACCUGCAGCUCUGCUGCUCCGUAAUAUUUUUUGACAUCUUUUAAAAUAAACAGUUUUACAAUUACAGCUAAGGCAUAUGAAAAUGAGUGCAAAAUGCAGAGACGAUAACACAUCACUGCAGGAUUUACAUAAAGCGGAGAGGGUGGGGGAAGAGAUCAUUUUCUACAGCAUCGAAGACAACAAAAAGAUGCAGGAUGGGUGACUGAGGUCAUGCAAGUCAAGCACAGGGAGUAUGAGAAAGGGUUAACCUAUG